CCUACGGGUGGCAGCAGUGGGGGAUAUUGCACAAUGGGGGAAACCCUGAUGCAGCGACGCCGCGUGUGGGAAGACGGUCCUCUGGAUUGUAAACCACUGUCCCCAGGGACGAAGAUGACGGUACCUGGGGACGAAGCUCCGGCUCACUACGUGCCCGCAGCCGCGGUAAUACGUAGGGAGCGAGCGUUGUCCGGAGUUACUGGGUGUAAAGGGAGCGUAGGCGGGGAUGCAAGUUGGCGGUCAAAACUACCGGCUCAACUGGUAGUCGCACUCAAAACUGCAGCGCUUGAGUGAAGUAGAGGCAGGCGGAAUUCCUGGUGUAGCGGUGAAAUGCGUAGAUAUUAGGAAGAACUCCAGUGGCGAAGGCGGCCUGCUGGGCUGUUACUGACGCUGAGGCUCGAAAGUGUGGGGAGCAAACAGGAUUAGAUACCCCAGUAGUC
rnacentral:rRNA from 1 species